UCCCUUGUAGCUCAGUCAAUAGAAUCUGCCUGCAAUGCAGGAGACCUGGGUUCAAUUCCUGGCUUAGGAA
rnacentral:tRNA from 1 species